UAACAAAAGCAAUGCCACACAUUUGUUUUAAUUUCUGAAGUUCUGAACACUCGGUUCAUGAUUGUUGUGCAGGGCUUUGAUGAAUACAUGAAUUUGGUCCUGGAAGAAGCUGAAGAAGUUAAUGUUAAGAAGAAAACAAGAAAGCCACUGGGGAGGAUUCUGUUGAAGGGAGACAACAUAACCUUGAUGAUGAAUACGGGUAAAUGAUUAUAUGCCAUUGUUGGGUUAUUUGGCUGGUGCCAGCAUCCCUAGGUUAGACUUCAGAGACCAUGUAGCUUCAACUUUUGUAUUGGCAAAUUCUGUAUGGCUUUUUUAACUGAAUGUGUGAGAUGGUAAAUGUUUCUCUAGGAUGUUAUAAGCAUUCUAAUUAAUGCAACUGUAAUAGGUCAAAGAUAUGUUGAAUGUGAAGUUUGCAGGCUUUGGGAGAA